UAGCUCGCGAAAAAAAAAUUGUUUACAAAACAAAUCGUAUCUUUUGGUGAAAAAUGCGUUCGUUGACAAAAUACCUGCUCGCGCUUUACUGUAGCUAGAUAUCUACAAUAAGCGGUCGAAUCAUAACAGUGCAGAAGGAUGUUUUCAGUAUAUCUUUCCGUUUCUUGCCGUGCAAUCAAUGCCUUUCUUUCCAUGCAAGAUGUACUUCUGUUUGGCUCCCAUCGGCGGGGAAAAGAAUACUAGCAGCUUACGGCGAUGGUGACAAAAAAUAACGCUGAUUGUAGCUUCACUGAUUUCGCUCAGGGUGGAGGAGAAUGCUGUGCAUAUACCGGGAAGGAGAUUACCAGAUCCAAAAUAUCCGGAAAGGGAUGUUACAUUGGUUUUGCAUAAAGGCUAGAGCAAAAGGAGGUUGACAAUGGUUGCAACAGGAAAGUAACCAAUUGCAUUGGAUUUUAGAGGCGAAUGAACUGAAAAGUUUAAAGCCUCUUAAAUUAAACAUCAUCAUCAUUGAGUUGUGCACCCGUGGCCGAGUGGUUAGCGUCUCACAUUAUCUUGCCGGGUGUUCGGGUUAGAUUCCCGUUCUGGCCGGAGGAUUUUUCGUCAGAGAAAUUUCCUUCGACUUGCACUGUUGUCACGCGUAUUCUAGAGCUUGCCCCUCGGAAUACAUUGAAGGCGUGUUAUUUGGCUUAAGAAAUCUCAACUAAGUAUUAAUAAAUGACGCUAGUUAAUGCAUUCGUUGAGACGGCAAAAGUUCCACAGAGAACGUUAACGCCAUUCAAGAAGAAGAUCAUUGAGUUGUAUGUUUUAAUCAAGGGAAAUCCUGAGCCUUGAAUUUUGUGUUUGGACAUAGAACUACGUCUUUCAGGAA